UACAGAGGUCUCAAGCGUUGUUCGGAUUCAUUGGGCGUAAAGGGUGCGUAGGUGGGCGAGAAAGUCAGUGGUGAAAUCUCCGGGCUUAACCCGGAAACUGCCAUUGAUACUAUUUGUCUUGAAUACUUUGGAGGUAAGCGGAAUAUGUCAUGUAGCGGUGAAAUGCUUAGAUAUGACAUAGAACACCAAUUGCGCAGGCAGCUUACUACACAGUAAUUGACACUGAGGCACGAAAGCGUGGGGAUCAAACAGG
rnacentral:rRNA from 2 species